CUCUCUCUAAAAUAAAUCUUAAAAAAAAAAAAGAUUUUAUUUUUAAGUAAUCUCUACACCCAACAUGGGGCUAGAACUCACGACCCCGAGAGAGGAGUCACAUGUCCUACCAACUGAGCCAGCCAGGCACCCCAAGGAGAAAGAAGAUUGGAAAAAGGAUGAAGUUGGUGGAGGAGAUGGUAGAUGGCGAGAGGGAAGAAAGUCCGGCGGAUGUUGGGCUCACCUUCAUGCUGGCCAUCAACCUUGCCCACUGACUUUGUGUCAAGUUGCAGUCACCAAGGUUCCCAAUCACGAAGAUACAGCCAUGUGGGGCCUGCUGCAGGUUCAGAUGAUUCCUUCCUGGAAAGAACCUGUACAUCAGCAAUGUGGGCUGAUGCAAAGAACAGUGGCUUCAGGUUCGGAUCCUGGCUCUGUCCGCCACCGACCAAGUCUCCGGACUCUGAGUCUCCCGGCCCC